GUCAGUAUGUCUAGGUAAUAGUGUCGAACGCAGCUUUUUAAAAAAAAAUGUAUCACGUGGUAAAACUGCAUAAACCUAAUGUCAAGUUAAAGUGUACUGUUAGCUAGCUAACGUUAGAUGGCUGGCUCGAUAGCUAACGUUUAUAUGGGUAAGAUAGUCUAGCUAGAUACAUUUUCAGAUAUUACACGUUUCUAAUUUUGACAGAAAGUGGUUUCAUUUCAGGUGUACUGUUAGCUAGCUAAUGACGUUAUGUGUAUGAUCUUAUUCUUCGUAAAUCAGACACAUUUGCUUGACUAGUUAUAGCCAUAGAACCUGGUUGGUUAGCAACCUGCAGAUUCACGCAGAGUAGUAACAUCAUGAGUUGUGAUUACGGUCCAUUGAUUAGCUAGCUAGCUACAUGUCUUAACAAAAGACUCCACUAUGCAAGUAUCCAUUUCAAUAGAAUGUCACUGCAACUGUUGAUAGAUGUUCUAGCUGGUAAACUCGCACUGGCUAUCUACUCCGAUUUCAGACCACGGAUAAGGACUGUCACAAUCCCGCCGGUACUGCUGCUCAUUCCGUUCACCAGCAUCAGAGGUCUACGUCGCCGGCCUUCUUGGCGUCACUGAACUGGAUUCAUUACAACCAACCCCGGACUGUCUUGCCUCAUUACACACACCUGGUUCCCAUUCCCCCUGAUUAGUAUGUGUAUAUAUAUGUGCCCUCUGUUCCCUAUUGUCCUUGUCGAUUAUUGUUCCAUGUCCGUAGGACUUGUGCUCUGUUGUAUCGGCUUUCGUGCUACGUGUUAUUGUGCACUUGUUAUUACGGGUCUCAUCCCGUGUAGUAUUUAGAGGUUUACACCUUGCUCUUUUGUUUGGGUUACAUCCCUGUGUGUGUGUGUGUGUGUGUGUGUGUGUGUGUGUG
rnacentral:lncRNA from 1 species